AUUGAACGCUGGCGGCAUGCCUUACACAUGCAAGUCGAACGGCAGCACGGGUGCUUGCACCUGGUGGCGAGUGGCGAACGGGUGAGUAAUACAUCGGAACGUACCUUAUCGUGGGGGAUAACGCAGCGAAAGCUGUGCUAAUACCGCAUACGCCCUGAGGGGGAAAGCGGGGGAUCGAAAGACCUCGCGCGAUUAGAGCGGCCGAUGCCUGAUUAGCUUGUUGGUGGGGUAAAAGCCCACCAAGGCGACGAUCAGUAGCUGGUCUGAGAGGACGAGCAGCCACACUGGGACUGAGACACGGCCCAGACUCCUACGGGAGGCAGCAGUGGGGAAUUUUGGACAAUGGGGGCAACCCUGAUCCAGCAAUGCCGCGUGAGUGAAGAAGGCCUUCGGGUUGUAAAGCUCUUUUGUCAGGGAAGAAACACCGGCUCUAACACAGUCCGGGAAUGACGGUACCUGAAGAAUAAGCACCGGCUAACUACGUACCAGCCGCCGCGGUAA
rnacentral:rRNA from 1 species